rnacentral:lncRNA from 1 species
CCCACGGCAUGCUAGAAACCAGGUGAAAGAAUGCAGCCUCAUAUUCCCAUGCGUCUAUUUUAUUUUCAUGACAUAGACGCCACCUCGAGACGCAUCUGCCCAUGAUUUAGAAGGGACAAGAGAGACCAGUUCUGCUCCCAAGUACAGUCGUGGAAGGGUUUGGAUUGCCUCUGCCCAUGCAAAUGUUGUCUCGCCUGGCUGACUGCUGGCUUGAUGGAUACGGAUGGGCGAGGUGCAAGGCGUCGUUUCUGCAUUCUUGACUUCCUUCCUCCACAGUAACUUAGAUAUUUUGAUGUCAUGCAAGAUUCGGCAGCAUGCACACCCUCUUGCCAACUCGCUCGUUCUCCCUCCUUUCCUCUCAAACAACGACGGUUUGUCCAUUGUCCAUUGUGUUGCUCUUUAACAGUUGAAGUCCAUCUCUAAAGCCUUGGAAGCCGAGGAUGGCCCAGAUCCCGCAAAGGCUCAGCCAAGAAAUGCAGCCUUUCACCAGUUUCUCAGCAAGUGUUUCCCCAGUAAAGGGCGUCGUCUCCUGCUGUUUAAGACCGACGAGCCCGGGCCUCCUUCAGGGGACUGAAGAAAAGGGGAAUCAAGCUGUACCUUUAAUUCCACGAAUGCUGUUGUUCGAGAUGGAGUGAUUUAGGGCCUCGCUACCAGGGAUGGUUUCAAGGACAAAUGCUGAUAAAUCAAAUGGAAUAUAAACCAAAGGUUUGCAGUACUUUAUUUAAAGCAAAUAUGAUAUCGAUGAGAGUGUUUCUGCUGACAGAUGAAUCGGAACCUUCUUAGUAGCUGAAGUAAAAUUAAUUUCUUUCAUAUGAAAUAUCCUUCAUAUCUGCUUUUGUAUUAAUUUAUAUUUAGUAAAGAUCUUAUUCUACCCUGACGGAUAAGAGAAAUAUGACUUCUGCUGAGGUUUCAUGACCAUGGCAGCUGCAGCAUAUUUUUCUUUAAUAAAGCUUUGUAGAGAGAUUGUCAUUGAAAUCUCAUGCAUUUUUGGUUACUCUUCAGUCUUGUCUUAGAAAAUGCUAAGAAUAGCAGUAGAAAUAUUCAAUGAAAAUGCAAAGUACUUUUUAAAAGAGUGUCAACAUAAUAAUAUUCGGGGAGUUUAUUAAAAUUGUUGUACUGUCUUAGGUUUUACACAUAAGAUCUGUGCUGCUUUACUUUCAGAAGUGUCCAUGUGGCUCCAAGGACUUGCUGGAUGGUUAUUCAAUAGUUUGAGAGCACAAAAAUCCAAGAAUAGAAACUAGGAGUCUGCAUAGACAAACCCUGGAAAGUUCGACCUUGUUGAGACAAGUCACAGUUCUUUUCUUUAAGGAAAAAUGCACAGCCACUACCCCAGGGACAUUUAGUUUGACUGACAUUAUUUAUGAUGGAUCAGAGAACAGAGUACGCUGGAUGGGAAAUCUCUGCUGGACAAGAGUGCCGAGGGAGUUCCUGUCGCGGCUCCGUGGUCCCGAACCUGACUAGCAUCCAGGAGGAUGCGGGUUUGAUCCCUGGCCUCGCUCGGUGGGUUAGGGAUCCGGCGUUGUCGUAGGCUGUGGCGUAGGCUGGCAACUGCAGCUCCGACUCGACCUCUAGCCUGGGAACCUCCAUGUGCCACAGGUGCAGCCCUAAAGAAAUAGAAAAGAAAAGAGUGCUGAGUCACAUUGUCCCAUUUGUAGGUUGUGGGACGGAGGCAGGAGUUGGAGAUGGGGAGAGACAUGUCAUUCUCUCCCUUGCUUUUUGAGCUAGAAUCCUCCCUGCAUUGCUAGGUCCGCCAGAUGGGCUGAAGGCGAAACGCAAUCCCGAAGUGUUUUAUCGCCUUUCCUCUUCUGAGCCCUAGAAGGGUCGUUUAGAACAAACGCAGCCUGUGGAGGGACAAAACUCAUCUGCAGCAGAGGGAGCUGACGAUCCAGAUUAACCGUCACCAACUCCGUGUGACAGCGAUGGGUCUGGGACAUUUCUUCUAGUUGAUGGUGAGGGGGAAGAGGAGAGGUUAUGUCCAUUAUUGCUGUGAAUCCGGGUAGAGUUUCCAAAAGUGCUGUCAAAGGGGCCCCCAAGCGCCUUGGCAUCCGGUGCUUCAAGGUGGGUUGUCUGGCUGGAAAGAAUCAGCCAGCUCUCAGAGCGUCAUCCUCCAGGCAGGGAUAAGAAGGUGGGUCUCAGGACAUCCAAAGCAGCCUGGCAGGUCCCCAGCUGCAUACCUCGGAGCAGAGUCCUAGUAGGGUUCCCAGGGAAUGAGGGCACCGCCCCUCUCAGUGAACAGCAGCCGGCACUCGCCCUGGGAAUAGACUGGUCCUGCCUCUGCAGAGUCCAACACGAGAUGGGACAGGAGACCCCCAGCCCGGGAGUCCUUCUGCUGCAGCUUUGGCCGCCUUUAGCGGAGCAUGCGUUUGAAAGCUGAGAAGAGCUGCGGUAUCACUGAAUAAUAAAUGCAUUCAGUGGGACGAUUAAGUCAUUUAAAGAAAUAGAGAAACUGCCACCUAUCUAUGUAGGACUGUUAGACCAUUUCGGAUGCCACUGCUAAACUGAUGAUAAAAAAUGUGUUAGUUAUUUAAAUAAAUAUAUGGCUUGACAGU